ensembl:lncRNA
AAAACUUUAGACUCAGUUUGAAUGCCCACGUGACUGUACGUUGCACGCUGACCUAACUUUACGUUGCACGCGUACAUGACUUUCCGUUUGUGCCUUGAAUAAUGAAUAAGGCUACGUCCACACGUACCAGCGUAUUUUUGAAAACGCUGAUUUUUCUAUGCGUUUGCACCUUUUGUCCACACGUAAUUUAUGUCUGGCCGUACAUUGUGUUUGUAUUUCCAGGCACAUUUCACGAAGCAGAACGCAGUCUUCAGAGAUAUCCACGUGAACGCUGUGAUACGUCUGACCUUCAGUCCGAAGAAGAAACCCAGACCAGUCUUAAAAGAAAGCACAAACCAAAUCCCCUGUACACAUAUACGGACUCAGAGGAUGAGCAGCCUACAAAAAAACGGUUUCCCCAGGCCCCUUGAGUGAAAAUACCAGCCCUCAUCACUCCAGUCUGCCCCCCAGCCCACUGAUAGCAACCAUCAUAAUGCCACACCCAGCUUCCGGCACCUUUCGCCACUCCGGCACAAACCGACACAGCUUUGCGAUCUCGCCAGCAUGCAGUCUGAUGUCUUCCCUAUAGAUGAUUCCAGAGACUCUGUGAGGCCACUAUUACAAGGUGAGACGCUUUGCGUUGAUUGGUGCUGCUGGACCACACUGGAGGUGCGAGUCCGCCGUGUAAUGGUUUAUGCCAUUACAAAGGAGCUGGCCUCUGUACUCAACUGGGCAGGGGAAAAAAAACCAAGGACCAGACAAAGCAAAAAAGGGCAUUUAAAGAGACAGCGCUGUGCAGAUGCAUAUUUGGUAAGUUUUA